UACGUAGGGUGCGAGCGUUAAUCGGAAUUACUGGGCGUAAAGCGUGCGCAGGCGGUUUUGUAAGCCAGAUGUGAAAUCCCCGGGCUUAACCUGGGGAAUGGCAUUUGGGACUGCAAGGCUUGAGUGCGGCAGAGGAGACUGGAAUUCCUGGUGUAGCAGUGAAAUGCGUAGAUAUGCGGAGGAACACCGAUGGCGAAGGCAAUCCCCUGGGCCUGCACUGACGCUCAUGCACGAAAGCGUGGGGAGCAAACAGG
rnacentral:rRNA from 1 species